rnacentral:RNase_P_RNA from 1 species
UGUGAGCGAACGUACACCUAAGGAGCCUAGGCUGCUGGGAAGGUCUGAGACAAAAGUCACUCCCACCUUCUAACUGGAAGGCUACAGUAAUCUGUAGAUGGAUUUGUAAGGAAGGUUACAUAAAUGUUCGACGAAGUACAUUGAGUACUGAGAACGUAUCCUGCCUUCAGAAUGGUCCAUGACUGGCUACUUGAGUGCGAUUGGUGUAGCAACAUUCCAUUGGUGCAAUGUUGUAACUCAAUUCAGACUACUCUCGUUCACA